AUAAAAUUGAAAAUGAAAAUCUGGAAAGGGUCAACGAUAAAACAACCUGACCAAAGACCAUAUAACAGCCUUAGGCCACCAAUGGGUCUUCAGCACAGUGAGAAAAUCCCGCACACGGAGGCGGACUGCAGCUGGCUACUUAACAAAACUGUGUACAAGUUCAGUGAAAAUGAACGUCACACUAAAAUCGAAGCAUAUAAGUGAACUUUAAUUAAAAGAAACAUAAAGACGAACAAAGACCAGAGGAUACUGACUUGGGACAGGCGCAUGAAAAACAUUUUUCAGAUGCACAUCAAGUGAGGG
rnacentral:lncRNA from 1 species